rnacentral:rRNA from 1 species
CAAUAGCGUAUAUUAAAGUUGUUGCAGUUAAAAAGCUCGUAGUUGGAUUUGUGGCGGUUCCUGUGGUCCGAUUUCGGUACUUUCGGGGACUGCCAUCCUUGGGUGGAUCCUGUGUGGCAUUAGGUUGUCGUGCAGGGGAUGCCCAUCGUUUACUGUGAAAAAAUUAGAGUGUUCAAAGCAGGCUUACGCCGUUGAAUAUAUUAGCAUGGAAUAAUGGGAUAGGACCUUGGUACUAUUUUGUUGGUUUGCGCACCGAGGUAAUGAUUAAUAGGGACAGUUGUGGGUAUUCGUAUUCCAUUGUCAGAGGUGAAAUUCUUGGAUUUCUGGAAGACGAACGAAUGCGAAAGCAUUUACCAAGGAUGUUUUCAUUAA